UACGUAGGAGGCAAGCGUUAUCCGGAAUGACUGGGCGUAAAGGGUGCGUAGGUGGUUUGGCAAGUUAGUAGCGUAACCCCGGGGCUCAACCUCGGAACUACUACUAAAACUGUCGGACUUGAGUGCAGGAGGGGCAAUUGGAAUUCCUAGUGUAGCGGUGGAAUGCGUAGAUAUUAGGAGGAACACCAGUGGCGAAGGCGAAUUGCUGGACUGUAACUGACACUGAGGCACGAAAGCGUGGGGAGCAA
rnacentral:rRNA from 1 species